AACAACAACAGAGAAGUGGUUUUAUUUCAGAGGCUGAAAUCCAACCGAUUCCCACUGUACUUCUGUGCACAGCCAAUAGGAGCAAAAACAAGUUGUUGUCGGAGCAGCGGCAGUGUGCUCCUCGUACAUCUCAUGUGAUUGGUCGGUGGUCUGAGUCCGGGCAAAACAAGCUCUAAACCCCUCCUACCGAACAAGUGACGCAAACUGCUUCCUCCCACCCCUCCUCUUAUUUUCCCCUCCCGGCCCUCGCUGCCACCUCCUCCCUUAGCUAGUUUUCUGUCAUCCUGUCAGGAUACAUUAAGCUCAUAUACCACUAGUGUUCACUGAGCACAGGAAAAAAUGCAGAGAAGAGGGAAGAAACGAUGGCGGUUUGGGCUUUUAGUGCUUCCCCCACAGUUCUUAGGUUUCAACGAUGAAGUUGGAGCUCCGAGAAGCACAUAAACCUUGAUGCGAAUAAAAAAUGAGGUUCAGUAGUAAGGCACGUUGUCGACAUGAGAUGAGAACUGAUUGCUUUGGUGGGACAGGAAAGCACUGGAUUCCAUUGGAUUGGUUUGUCAGCUGAGUUAAAAUGGUGGGGGGAAAAUCUGGAAAUGGUACUACCAGUGAUAGAAAGGAGUGUUCAGGUAAACCAACAGACAUCAGGAGGUAGAGCAGGAGUUCACCACAGAUAGUGAAGGUCCAACAUAUGCUUCAUUG